ACGUAAUAGAUACCCGGGUAGUCCACGCCCUAAACGAUGUCUACUAGUUGUUGGUGGAGUAAAAUCCAUUAGUAAACGCAGCUAAACGCGCGAAGUAGACCGCCUGGGGAGUACGGUCGCAAGAUUAAAACUCAAAGGAAUUGACGGGGGUCCCGCACAAGCGGUGGAUUAUGUGGAUUAAUUCGGUGCAACGCGAAAAACCUUACCUGGCCUUGACAUGCCACUAACGAAGCAGAGAUGCAUUAGGUGCCCGAAAGGGAAAGUGGACACAGGUGCUGCAUGGCUGUCGUCAGCUCGUGUCGUGAGAUGUUGGGUUUAAGUCCCCGCAACGAGCGCAACCCUUGCCAAUAAUUGCCAUCAUUUAGUUGGGCACUUUAUUGGGACUGCCGGUGACAAACCCGGAGGAAGGUGGGGAUGACGUCAAGUCCUCAUGGCCCUUAUGGCCAGGGCUUCACACGUAAUACAAUGGUCGGUACAGAGGGUUGCCAACCCGCGAGGGGGUAGCCAAUCCCAGAAACGCCGAUCGUA
rnacentral:rRNA from 1 species